AUUGAACGCUGGCGGCAGGCCUAACACAUGCAAGUCGAGCGGAUGAAGGGAGCUUGCUCCUGGAUUCAGCGGCGGACGGGUGAGUAAUGCCUAGGAAUCUGCCUGGUAUUGGGGGAUAACGUCCGGAAACGGGCGCUAAUACCGCAUACGUCCUGAGGGAGAAAGUGGGGGAUCUUCGGACCUCACGCUAUCAGAUGAGCCUAGGUCGGAUUAGCUAGUUGGUGGGGUAAAGGCCUACCAAGGCGACGAUCCGUAACUGGUCUGAGAGGAUGAUCAGUCACACUGGAACUGAGACACGGUCCAGACUCCUACGGGAGGCAGCAGUGGGGAAUAUUGGACAAUGGGCGAAAGCCUGAUCCAGCCAUGCCGCGUGUGUGAAGAAGGUCUUCGGAUUGUAAAGCACUUUAAGUUGGGAGGAAGGGCAGUAAGUUAAUCCCUUGCUGUUUUGACGUUACCAACAGAAUAAGCACCGGCUAACUUCGUG
rnacentral:rRNA from 1 species